rnacentral:rRNA from 1 species
AGGACGAACGCUGGCGGCGUGCCUAACACAUGCAAGUCGAACGGACGAGGGGAGGCUUGCUCCCCAAGUUAGUGGCGGACGGGUGAGUAACACGUGAGCAACCUGCCCUUCGGAGGGGGACAACAGCGGGAAACUGCUGCUAAUACCGCAUAACGUAUCUGGGAGGCAUCUUCCGGAUACCAAAGAUUUUAUCGCCGAAGGAUGGGCUCGCGUCUGAUUAGAUAGUUGGCGGGGUAACGGCCCACCAAGUCGACGAUCAGUAGCCGGACUGAGAGGUUGAACGGCCACAUUGGGACUGAGAUACGGCCCAGACUCCUACGGGAGGCAGCAGUGGGGAAUAUUGGGCAAUGGGGGGCAACCCUGACCCAGCAACGCCGCGUGGAGGAAGAAGGCUUUCGGGUUGUAAACUCCUUUGACGAGGGACGAUAGUGACGGUACCUCGAAAACAAGCCACGGCUAACUACGUGCCAGCCGCGGC